AGUGAACGCUGGCGGUAGGCCUAACACAUGCAAGUCGAACGGCAGCACAGUAAGAGCUUGCUCUUACGGGUGGCGAGUGGCGGACGGGUGAGGAAUACAUCGGAAUCUACUUUUUCGUGGGGGAUAACGUAGGGAAACUUACGCUAAUACCGCAUACGACCUACGGGUGAAAGCAGGGGAUCUUCGGACCUUGCGCGAUUGAAUGAGCCGAUGUCGGAUUAGCUAGUUGGCGGGGUAAAGGCCCACCAAGGCGACGAUCCGUAGCUGGUCUGAGAGGAUGAUCAGCCACACUGGAACUGAGACACGGUCCAGACUCCUACGGGAGGCAGCAGUGGGGAAUAUUGGACAAAGGGCGCAAGCCUGAUCCAGCCAUACCGCGUGGGUGAAGAAGGCCUUCGGGUUGUAAAGCCCUUUUGUUGGGAAAGAAAAGCAGCAGGUUAAUACCCCGCUGUUCUGACGGUACCCAAAGAAUAAGCACCGGCAAACUUCGUG
rnacentral:rRNA from 1 species